rfam:Anopheles arabiensis strain DONG5_A unplaced genomic scaffold supercont1.36, whole genome shotgun sequence.
GCAACAGUCCUUUUCAGGACUACCAAAUGAAUCAUUCAAGAACUAU